CGCUGGACUCUUCAUCUGGAGGAGGAACAAUAACGGGUUUCGCCCUGCUAACACGGGGCAGUGAACAUAGAAGAGGAUGCUGAACUCCAUAACUUAUCGUCUCAGAGGACUUUACAAUCUGUACAACAAAUGGCGUUCUCUACCCUUCAUUUGGAUAAAGAAAACCACCCAAACUCAUUUAGUAAAUCUCUAUAAUGAGAGCUGCUCAUCUGAUUGGAUGCCAUACUGGAGGAGGGAAGAAGUAUUCGGAUGGACUUGCAUUUAUAUAGCACUUUUCUAGGCUUCCGACCACUCAAAGCUCUUUACACUAUAUAUCAGCAUUCACCCGUUCACACACACAUUCAUACACUGAUGGCAGAGGCUGCUAAGGUGCCAACUUUGCCCAUCAGGAUCUAAUCUAAAUACUCAUUCACACACCGAUGGUCAUGCCUUCAGGAGCAAUUUGGGGUUAAUAGGACUAUUUUGUAAGAAUCAGAAAAUGCUUGUUAAGAGCGACACUUGCGGCC